UACGUAGGGCGCAAGCGUUAUCCGGAAUUAUUGGGCGUAAGAGCUCGUAGGCGGUUUGUCGCGUCUGCCGUGAAAGUCCGGGGCUCAACUCCGGAUCUGCGGUGGGUACGGGCAGACUAGAGUGAUGUAGGGGAGACUGGAAUUCCUGGUGUAGCGGUGAAAUGCGCAGAUAUCAGGAGGAACACCGAUGGCGAAGGCAGGUCUCUGGGCCGAUAACUGACGCUGAGGAGCGAAAGCAGUGGGGAGCGAACAGG
rnacentral:rRNA from 1 species